CGUCUAUAUACGUAUAGCAUAUCAAUAAGCGGAGGAAAAGAAACUAACAAGGAUUCCCUUAGUAACGGCGAGUGAAGCGGGAAGAGCUCAAAUUUGAAAUCUUCAAGGUUCUACCUUGACGAAUUGUAGUUUAUAGAAGUGUUUUCUGUUAGUAGAGUGGCAAAAGUUCUUUGGAAUAGGACAUCAUAGAGGGUGAGAAUCCCGUAUUUGGUCAUUCUUUCUAGCUUUGUGAUACACUUUCAACGAGUCGGAUUGUUUGGGAAUGCAGUCCAAAAUGGGUGGUAAAUUUCAUCUAAAGCUAAAUAUUGGCGAGAGACCGAUAGCGAACAAGUACCGUGAGGGAAAGAUGAAAAGAACUUUGAAAAGAGAGUUAAACAGUACGUGAAACUGUCGAAAGGGAAGCGUUUGACACCAGUGUUGUUUUUCCGAAAAUCAAUUACGAAUGUUUUAGUUUUUGAGGAGUUAUGACUUCAUCGGCUUGCUUCUCUCUUUACUGAAACUUUCUUAAUGCACUUUUCGGUUAACAAGUCAACAUCAAUUUCUUUUGUUGUAAAAGGGUAUGAGGAAGGUGGCUUUCUUUUCGGAGAAAGUGUUUAUAGCCUUGUGCCUCUGCAAUCGGAGAGAUUGAGGUCUGCAGCGUAGAUCCUUCGGGGUUAGAUACAUUUGUGCUAAGUUAUAGCUUUUCAUAGACAACUUGUUGACUAUGUUUAGUCUUGUAGCUUACUCGCUUAUGCUAUUUUACCUACGCUUAGGAUGUUGAUAUGCAUGACUGAUAU
rnacentral:rRNA from 1 species